rnacentral:rRNA from 1 species
AUGGAGAGGACCGGUUCCAGCGCUGACGGCACGGGUCCUAGCACCUCCUCCUCCUACCCCACCGCCGACGCCGACGACAAUGGCACCGCCGGCGGCGCCAAGGUCUGGCUCCUCGUGCUCCUCUUCUCCCUGCUCCUGCUGCUCUUCCUCCCCUCCGCCGUGCGCCGAGGCGGCGGAUUCCAGCGCGGAGGGAUUACGCUCAAGAGCGGCGGGGACGUCGUCAACCUCUGCCUCGUGCUCUUCGCCAUCCUCUGCGGCCUCCUCGGCCGCGGCGGGGGCGACGCCGAUGGGGAGGCCCCUGGCCCCGCGCCGCUGGCGCCCAAGAGCCAUCUGCGGGUGUCCCCUGCCGCGGCGCCGACGCCGGAGCCGAGCACCGAGGACGUCUGGGCGAGCUUCAACAACUCCUACACCAACCACAACGCCCAGACGGGGAUCCGGCGGAUGAAGAGCAGCAGCUCCUACCCGGAGCUGCGGCUGGACAGCGACGGCGUCUGGGGCCUCGCGUCACCGGAGUUGGCCUGGCGCUCCUACGACGAUGCCGAGCUGUACCGGACCCGCCGAGACGACGCCGAUCGGCCGCUCAGGAGGACGUCGUCCGAUGUGAAGACGAUCCCGGUGGACACCUACGAGGUGCGCGCCAGACCGCUGCCUCAGGAUGCGAGGAGGCGGAGGCGGAGCGUCGAGAGGCUCCCCAAGAUGGAUGAGGUGGAGGAGGAGAGGACGCAUCCGGCGGAGACGGAGACUCUCGCUACGCCGGCGAGGAGCAGGACCUGGAGCCCGGAGGAGCUGGACGCUACGCUGCUGGGGAUGGCGUCCGCACCACCAGCACCUGCCCCGCAGCCGCAGCCUCGCCGUCGCCGACGCAGCCUCGAGAGGCUCCCCGAGAUGGUUGAGGUGGAGGAGGAGAGGACGCGUCCCACGGAGACUCGCGCUACGCCGGCGAGGAGCAGGACGUGGAGCCCGGAAGAGCUGGGCGCUACGCUAUUGGAGAUGGCGUCCGCAGAACCACCACCUGCCCCUCCGCAGCAGCCUCGCCGUCGCCGCCGCAGCCUCGAGAACCUGCCGACAAUGGAAGAAGUGGAGAAGGAGAUUAUAGUGGAAGAGAUCAAUCACCCGCAGUCGCCAUCGCCAGCCAUGUUUCCCCCAGGGACUCCGCCGCCACCUCCUCCUCCGCCACCGGCGGCAAUGUCGAGGAGCAAGAAGAAGAGGAGCGGCAGUGUGGGCGGCGCAAAGGAACUGGCCUCCGCCAUUGCUCUCUUCUACCAGAAGAAGCGCAAGAGCAUUAUCAUGAAGAGGGAGAGGCACCACCACCACCACCAUCACCAUCUCUCCGAUGACCACUACUCGUCGCCUUCGUCCGAAGCAUCGGCGAGUCCCGAAGCUACCGGCCGUGCCAAUCCUCCACGCCCGCCACCGCCGCCACCCCCUCCCCCGCCGCCGCCGUCAUCCAUCUUCUCCAACCUCUUCAAGAAAGGAGGCAGCAAGAGCCGCCGCAUGAACUCCCUCGCGCCACCGCAACCGCCACCUCCGCCCCCACCAACGCGCCGAUCAAGGAAACCGCCACAGCCUCCGUCUCGCCCCGCUCCUCCGCAGCCAGCGCCAGCUCCGGUGAGGACACGGCCGCCGCGCGCGAGCGCGCACCCGCAACAGCAGAUACGCGCGCAGGGGUAUCCGCAGCAGCCGCCACUGUAUCCCAGGCGCGGUGUCGUGUACUACGCCUACCCGCUUCCUCCGCCGUCGCCCCCAAUGCCGCCACCGCCUCCUCCACCGCCGAUGCUGGAGGGGGAGGAGGAGGUUCCGUCGGUCACUGCGUCACCGGCACCGUCGUACUGCGCGAGCCCCGACGUGAACACCAAGGCGGACAACUUCAUCGAACGCUUCCGCGCCGGGCUGAAGCUGGAGAAGAUCAACUCGUACAGGGAGAAGCUGCAGAUCCAAGAAGGCGCGACCGUGACCAUGGCGGAGGAGGACGGGGAGUUCAUGGUCAUUGGGUCCCUCUUCGAAGAUGAUGAUGACGAUAUGUCGUUGCCGGAGACGCCGGUAACCGCCACCGCGGCCGCUGUUGCCGCCGGCUUGUAA